rnacentral:lncRNA from 1 species
AGAUUGUAGCUUGUCUUUGCAGCUCUGAAUUAUCUCCUCAUAUCUCAUCCCUACCCUAGCAGAAGCAUCUCACAUCUCUGACCAAACAGAGAAAAUAAAAUUCAAAAUCAGUCACAAAAUCAAAUUCAAAAGAACAAUGAAACCUAUACUUCUUUGUUAUAUCUAACAUUAAAUCGCAUAACAACAUAACCUAAUGAAAAUACUUGAGAACAAUUAAGAUCCAACCUAUUGUAAUAACUUAAUCACAUUUAAGCUCAUGUGAUCACUAACCGGAUUCAAUCUCUGGGCUUGUUUGACUUUUCUAUAGCAAACCAUUUCAUACUUCUUGCUCAAAUCGCCAGUCCUCGCAUAUAACACAUAACAAAAAGUCAGAUUCAUAAGACAAAAUCGAAUCAUGUAACAUUUCAAACCAAAACAUCUCUACUAUACCUAACUAUCAACCAAAUACUAUUUAUUCAUGAAUACAAUAAGGAUCCACCUUCAUAAUUAUCGAAAAUUUGAACCACACCAAAGAAAAACGUUUCCUAGCAACCAUCGGAUUUAAUCAACCUUAGUUUAUCAAAAAAUCAUACCUUACAAUACAUACACACACUCAAAUCGUUGCUUAAUUACCUUAAUUAACGCCUUAACAACGAAUAUCCCAUUUCCCCCAAAUCACGAAACCCUAAUUUCCCAAAUAGCAAGAACCCUAAUUUGUUAAAACUUAAAAUCAGUUCAAUUCUAACAAUCAGAACCAAAUACAUACCUUGUACUGCCGAAUAGUACUCCCAAGACUCUGAUUUCGAACAACCGAAGCCGAUUUCGAAUCGAUUUUGUAUACUUCAGCCGAUUUCGAUUUCCUUUGCUCGUCGAUUAGGUCAAUUUCAGCCGCCGCGGAGAAAGGGAAUCAGUCGUCUUCAUCAUCUACCGGAAACGAUGGCCGGCGAUGACUCAUUCCGGCUUCAUCGUCGGAUUACGGAAGAAUCGAAGAAAUCGCUCUUCGUUUCUCUUUUUCGCGAACAGAGAGAGAGAGAGAGAGAGAGAAAGAAAGAAGAAAGAAAAAUGAAGAAAAGGAAAAAAAAUGAUUUAUAUAUUUAUCAUCAAAGCCAAUCGAUGCUUGCCACGUAGACACCUCUUCCACCUUCAUUUUGAUCUUAUAUAAUAUACGGAUCUUACCAUUUUAAUUGUUUUUUGAUUUAAAUUUAAUCCUCAAUUUACCUAAGAAUCACCUAAGAUUAGCCUAAUAACCCAGCAUUGAUGAUGGUC